rnacentral:rRNA from 1 species
UAAUACAUCGGAACGUGUCCUUUUGUGGGGGAUAACCAGUCGAAAGAUUGGCUAAUACCGCAUGAGAUCGCAAGAUGAAAGCAGGGGACCCGCAAGGGCCUUGCGCGAGAGGAGCGGCCGAUGUCCGAUUAGCUAGUUGGUGGGGUAAAAGCCUACCAAGGCGACGAUCGGUAGCUGGUCUGAGAGGACGACCAGCCACACUGGGACUGAGACACGGCCCAG